rnacentral:rRNA from 1 species
GUCUUUUUGAGUAUAAUUUAAAGUCGAAUCUGCCCACUGAUUAUUAAUUAAAGGGCUGCAGUAUUUUGACUGUACAAAGGUAGCAUAAUAAUUAGUCUUUUAAUUGAAGACUUGUAUGAAAGAUUUGAUGAGAUAUAAACUGUCUCUUUUUUAUAAUUAGAAUUUAAUUUUUCAGUAAAAAAGCUGAAAUUAUUUUAAAAGACGAGAAGACCCUAUAGAGUUUUAUAAUUAAAUUAGUUAUAUAUUUUUAUUUAAAUUAAAAAUUAAUUGAUUUAAUUAUUUUGUUGGGGUGAUAAAAAAAUUAAAUUAACUUUUUUUUUUAAAUUGAACAUUAAUUUAUGAAUAAUUGAUCCAUAAUUUAUGAUUAAAAGAAAAAAUUACCUUAGGGAUAACAGCGUAAUUUUUUUUUUUAGUUCUUAUAAGAAAAAAAGUUUGCGACCUCGAUGUUGGAUUAAGAUAAAAUUUAAAUGCAGAAGUUUAAAAUUUUGAUCUGUUCGAUCAUUAAAAUCUUACA